AACGAACGCUGGCGGCAGGCUUAACACAUGCAAGUCGAGCGCCCCGCAAGGGGAUCGGCAGACGGGUGAGUAACGCGUGGGAACGUACCUUUUGGUUCGGAACAACUCCGGGAAACUGGCGCUAAUACCGGAUAAGCCCUAACGGGGAAAGAUUUAUCGCCGAAAGAUCGGCCCGAGUCUGAUUAGCUAGUUGGUGAGGUAACGGCUCACUAAGGCGACGAUCAGUAGCUGGUCUGAGAGGAUGAUCAGCCACACUGGGACUGAGACACGGCCCAGACUCCUACGAGAGGCAGCAGUGGGGAAUAUUGGACAAUGGGCGCAAGCCUGAUCCAGCCAUGCCGCGUGAGUGAUGAAGGCCUUAGGGUUGUAAAGAUCUUUUGUCCGGGAAGAUAAUGACUGUACCGGAAGAAUAAGCCCCGGCUAACUUCGU
rnacentral:rRNA from 1 species